rnacentral:rRNA from 1 species
GAGUUGAUCGUGGCUCAGGAUGAACGCUGGCGGCGUGCCUAAUACAUGCAAGUCGAGCGAACGGACGAGAAGCUUGCUUCUCUGAUGUUAGCGGCGGACGGGUGAGUAACACGUGGAUAACCUACCUAUAAGACUGGGAUAACUUCGGGAAACCGGAGCUAAUACCGGAUGAUAUUUUGAACCGCAUGGUUCAAAAGUGAAAGACGGUCUUGCUGUCACUUAUAGAUGGAUCCGCGCUGCAUUAGCUAGUUGGUAAGGUAACGGCUUACCAAGGCAACGAUGCAUAGCGACCUGAGAGGGUGAUCGGCCACACUGGAACUGAGACACGGUCCAGACUCCUACGGGAGGCAGCAGUAGGGAAUCUUCCGCAAUGGGCGAAAGCCUGACGGAGCAACGCCGCGUGAGUGAUGAAGGUCUUCGGAUCGUAAAACUCUGUUAUUAGGGAAGAACAUAUGUGUAAGUAACUGUGCACAUCUUGACGGUACCU